rnacentral:lncRNA from 1 species
GGCGAAGCGGCGGUGCAGCUCGCGCAGCGAUGACACAGAAACCACUUUAAUUCACUUUAAUCCACUUUAAUUCACUUUAAUCCACUUUAUUCGUUUAUUCGUACAUGAAACACGUCCACACCGGCGGCGAGGCCGGAGGCAGGUGAGCACAGGAACGGAACCGGAGCUCUGCGGGACCCGGAGGACCCAGAGUUCAGAGCGGAGAGCCUCGGAGUGGAGAACUACACCUCCGCUCCGUGCACGCUGUAACCAGAUCAGACUGAACUACAUGGACCCGGAGGCCACGCCCACUCACAGCACGGCGCACCAUCAUUGGCUGUGGCAGCAGAGGUGCUCCUGAGAUGGAUGAGGGGCAGUUGAGCGAGCGGUGUGUGAGGGCGGGGCUUGAGAUGGAAGGUAAGAUGGCAUGUCACGAGGUGGAGGAACAGGUUGUGUGCACAAAUGGUGCUGUUACCAUGGAAACCAAGUGGGCAGAGGAGGAGGAGCGAUGGAGGAAGCUCUUUCCUGACCUAAAAAGGUGCGCAGUUGUGAUCAGUCGUCUUAGUCUCAAAGGGGAGCAGGCCAAAUGUGAUUGGACGCAGCCGUUAGAGCACCGGGGGCGAUUCAUCAAGAAGGUGGUGGUCAUACAGCGGGCUGACCAUUGGCCUAAGAAACCCCCCUGCCAGCUGAAAAGGAGCGGCGUCCCGGGGCUGAGACCGUGUGCAGAUGUUAGGUCUGACCCAGCCCACCUCUGUUCAAAUGGAUGCACCAAAGAUCACCAUGGUGACAGCAGCCAGAUCAGCCAGUCAGAGAUAGAACACAACUACUGCCUCACCAUCAAAGACACACCUGACGCCAGCAGCCUAUCACAGGAAAGGUACAACACACCUGACGUCAGAGUAUCCAUUUCCUGCAGACAGGUGUACUGCAGUGAGCCAAAAGAUGGAGAUUGCACCCGAUCAGAAAAGAACGUUCCUCACAUUGUCUUUAAGAAGGUGCAGACGGAUCAGUGGGAGCUCAUGAGGUCACAGGUCCAAACAAAGAAGGAGGAGGACACAGACACCAGCGCUGUCCAGGUGAGUCUGGCCUGACUGAGCCCUCAUGAUUUACCUGUGCUCUGACAUGUCAUGUGACCUGCUGUUGUCGGAUUGGUCUCCAGAGGAAGAAG